UUUUCCUCCAUUCAUCUGACUCGCGGUGGGUAAUGGGGCUGGACUGCCGAGCUUGUAGAGCUUGCAAACCUUAGAAAAAAAAAAAUCCUGGCAGAAAUUUAGAGUUUACGAGAAUGAUUGUAGCGAAUACAUCACCGAGACACGGGACUUACGGGACUGCUUUUGUGUGGAGCCAUCAAUUGUUUUCAUUGCAACAAGGUAGGAAGUAUAAUGUCCUCAUUUCUACAAGGAAAUCUCUGCCUGCUAAUGUGUGCAGUGGUUUUGGGCUACAAUUUAGAGCCUUUGCAUCACAGAAAUCUGAGAAGAAAGCAAGAAAUUAUUUGAAUUUAUCCAAGACUAAAAGUAAAACUUCGCAGCAAAGCAAACAACUUUCUUUGGAAGAUUCUGUGGAUUUGUCAGAUAAGAUUCUAACAAGAAAUGACAAUACUUUUGACCCUAGUGUUGAAUCAAUUAGUGGUAACUUGAAUGAAAAUGAUCUAACUGCACGCCCUACUAGAGGUGCUGUGCUUCAAGCUUGCAUUGUCACCUCUGGCCUGAUACUUGCUUUGGGUGCAAUAAUUCGACAGGCCUCCCAUGUUGCGUCUAUGGAAGGGUGGGCAAUUUUUGACUCGUAUAGAGAAGUAUCAUUUGGUUUUGAGACGUGGCAUAUUGAAUUAAUCAUAGGAUUGGUUAUAUUGAUAUCAUCUAGUCGAUAUAUCCUACUGAGGAUAUGGCCAGAUUUUUCAGAGUCCAGCGAAGCCGCCAACCAACAAAUCCUUGGUCCGCUACAACCUUUGGAUUGUGUUAUUGUGGCAUUUCUGCCUGGGAUCAGUGAGGAGCUGCUUUUCCGUGGGGCACUGCUGCCACUCUUUGGCCUUAACUGGAAAAGUGCCCUCGCAAUUGGUGCUAUUUUUGGAGGUCUUCACUUGGGCGGUGGCCGAAGAUAUUCUUAUGCAAUCUGGGCAACAUUUGUUGGCCUUGCCUAUGGUGUAGCAACAAUUAUCUCCUCAAGUGUUCUAGUUGCAAUGAUCUCGCAUUCGUUAAACAAUCUUGUAGGAGGCCUCCUGUGGCGCCUCACAUCCACUUCAGAGCAGAAAAAUGAAUAAUUCUAUCAUUCAUGGUGCACAGCACUUCUCACAAAAUGGGGGAAAUUUGUGGAUAUUACAAUAGCAGCAAGCUAUGUCACAGUUAUUAUUGCAACCUACAUGAGGCAAGAUAAGCUCAAAUACCUAAGCAUUGAUCAUAACAGAUGGAUCCGCAGGACCAUGAUGCUGGUGCAAAAUUCACAGAUAAGUAUAUCUUUCCACAGGAUCUGCCAGAGAUGAACGAAUUAUAGUGUGCUGGAAGGUUUGCAUUGUCUUGCAAAUUGAUGCAACACAUUCACCUGCAUGUAUAUGUAAUUAUGUACCAUCUCUAUAUACAUCAAGCAUAUACACCAGCUGUAGACUACAACUACGAAAUCAUAGUAAGUUGUUCCUUUCUUUUUGUAUCUCAUAAAACAUGACCUAUUUGGCUGCCUUAGUGCCAGCCCGAAAAACAUGUUGAGUUGAAAAAUUGCCAUUGCUCAUGAUAUUGAUUGGAAAACUCCUGUUAUGUAACUGGCUUAAUGGAUGACUAUAUGAUGUUAUCAACUAGAACUGAGUUAUAACUCAUUGAUUAAGUGUUUUA